rnacentral:rRNA from 1 species
UGGGGAAUAUUGGACAAUGGGCGAAAGCCUGAUCCAGCCAUGCCGCGUGUGUGAAGAAGGCCUUUUGGUUGUAAAGCACUUUAAGCGAGGAGGGUACUGGUAUUAAUACUACCAGGUACUGGACGUUACUCGCAGAAUAAGCACCGGCUAACUCUGUGCCAGCAGCCGCGGUAAUACAGAGGGUGCGAGCGUUAAUCGGAUUUACUGGGCGUAAAGCGUGCGUAGGCGGCUAAUUGAGUCGAAUGUGAAAUCCCCGAGCUUAACUUGGGGAGUGGAUUCGAUACUGGUUAGCUGAAGUGUGGGGGAGGAUGGUAGGAGUACAGGUGGAGCGGUGAAAUGCGUAGAAAGCUUGAGGAAUACCGAAGGCGGAGGCAGCCAUCUGGCCUAACACUGACGCUGAGGUACGAAAGAAUGGGGAGCAAACAGG